rnacentral:rRNA from 1 species
UACGUAGGUGACAAGCGUUGUCCGGAUUUACUGGGCGUAAAGAGCGCGCAGGCGGUCGUUCAAGUCGAGUGUGAAAGCCCCCGGCUCAACUGGGGAGGGUCACUCGAUACUGAUCGACUCGAAGGCAGGAGAGGGUAGUGGAAUUCCCGGUGUAGUGGUGAAAUGCGUAGAUAUCGGGAGGAACACCAGUGGCGAAGGCGACUACCUGGCCUGUUCGUGACGCUGAGGCGCGAAAGCUAGGGAGCAACGGG